UACAGAGGGUGCAAGCGUUAAUCGGAUUUACUGGGCGUAAAGCGUGUGUAGGUGGCCGCGUAAGUCGGAAGUGAAAUCCCUCGGCUCAACCAAGGAAGUGCUUUCGAAACUGCUGAGCUUGAGUACUUAAGAGGAUCGCGGAAUUCCCGGUGUAGAGGUGAAAUUCGUAGAUAUCGGGAGGAACACCAGUGGCGAAGGCGGCGAUCUGGGAAGAUACUGACGCUGAGGUGCGAAAGCGUGGGGAGCAAACAGG
rnacentral:rRNA from 1 species